GAUGCAUUUGACAUAUGUUUCAUGUUAUAGCCCAACAAGUUACUUACAGCAGUUUAAAUACGAGCAAUCAGUUUUUGGCAAAUACCGGAAAUCAGUUUUUGGCAGGCAAUCACUUUUUGGCACAACACCGGCGUCCGAGGAGCUGAUGGGAUACUCACGCCCACGGGCGUGGCUGUUAACUCUACACCUGCAUCUCAUCCCAGGCGAUUAUCAGGUGGACUAUUUGAUCCCGCUCAGCCUGCUGCUCCACGCCAGUCCGUAGUCGUCUCACAGCGAUAACAGCUUGGCGUGUUUUUUGAGCCACCUGCCUGUCCACCUGCCCGCCUGGAGUUUUUGAUCACCUUCAGUAUCCCUCACUUCGCCUUUCCUAGAGCUCCCCGCGGACCUUCACCCCUCCCUCCGGCUCUCACGGCCCCGCUUUGACUCCUCCCUCAGUCCCGUUUUCGGCGUUCCUUCGUGGCUCGUCUCCCGGUGCCUUGGUUUCUCUAUUUUCACGUGUGUUUUCCUUAACCCUCCCGGGACACCUUUAGUUAGAAUAAAGUUUAUUUUCUCGCAUUCCUGCAUGUGUGUUGGCUCU